GAUGAACGCUGGCGGCGUGCCUAACACAUGCAAGUCGAGCGAACGGACGAUAAGCUCGUUUCUCUGAUGUUAGCGGCGGACGGGUGAGUAACACGUGGAUAACCUACUUCUAUUACUGGGAUAACUUCGGGAAACCGGAGCUACUACCGGAUAAUAUUUUGUACCGCUUGGAUCAAGAGUUAAUGACGGUCUUGCUGUCUCUAUUAGAUGGUUCCGCGUUGCAUGAGCUAGUGGGUAAGGUAACGGCUUACCAAGGAGACGAGGCGUAGCUGACCUGAGAGGAUGAUCAGCCACACUGGAAGUGAGACACGGUCCAGACGCAUACGGGAGGCAGCAGUGGGGAAUAUUGGACAAUGGGCGCAAGCCUGAUCCAGCCAUACAGCGUGGGUGAAGAAGGCCUUCGGGUUGUAAAGCCCUUUUGUUGGGAAAGAAAAGCAGCAGGUGAAUACCCCGCUGUUCUGACGGUACCCAAAGAAUAAGCACCGGAUAACUUCGUG
rnacentral:rRNA from 1 species